UGCUGCUCUGCUCACCAGCUGUAUUCCUGUAGAUCUGUGUCUAUAAAAAGGUACAGCUGAGGGAAGGUGGGCUCUGAGGAGAUGAAAUGGCUUGUCCAAGACCCCACAACUAGGAAGUGACACAGCUGGGAUUCAAACUCAGGACCCAGCCUCUCAGGUCAGCAGUGUGGUGCAAGGCAGAGGCAGGGCUGGGAGGCAGGAGACGGGGCUGCGGUCCCAGCCCUCCAUCUUACUCACCUCUCCUGGCCUCACCUCGUCUCCUCAUCCGGGAGCGGGUGUGUCAAUUAAAGCUCUUUAAAAGCAAGUGACAGAGACCUGCUUUGGCUUAGUGAAGCGAAACAAGAAAAAAGGGGCUGCAUCGGGAGGAUCUGGGGCUGCCCACAGAAUGGGAGGAGGCGCUAAACUAGGCCUCAGAAAGGCCAGAACCCGGGGCCACUCCAGGGAUCCGGGAGCAGGGACCCGUGAACCGCAUCUAAGGCUAGUUCCCUAAAUAAUAACCCAGGCUCUGUUGUCGGAAGAAGAGAGCAUGGCUGCGGCAGCCCCAGACAGCUCCUGUCCACGUCCCACAUCAGUGAGGAGGCGGGCCCACCGGGGCGCCUGAAUCGAGUGAGCUCUGAUGGGGAAGCUCCGUGCAGGCUGCCAAGCAGCCCGAGACGCACGGGAGCAUCGUGUGUCCGUCUGUCCCUCCCAUCCAGGGCAGGGACGCAGGGGGAGCACGCCAGCUUCUCGUCCUGGCUUUGCCACUGACUGGUUAUGUGUCCUUGGGCAAGUCACUCUUCCUCCCGGACCAGAGUUUUGUCAUCUCUCGAAGACAGUGAUCAUCUCUAAGACCAGUCCUCAGCUCACUAAGGUGUUCGCAGCCCAUCCCAGGGGAAUUUGAGAAAUUAAAAGAUGUUCCUGGCAGCAACCACUUCACCUGAGGGAAUGAAUCAUAAAUGAUGGCACUUCAGGCUGCUGUGAAGAAGAUAUCAGGUGACAUCAAGUGGAAAAACACCCCCCUCCCCCAGGAACCCACGCAGGAAGACGGGCAGCGCGGGCACAGCGCCCCCACCUGGGGCUCCAGAACAUCUGCCGUGAGGGGCUGCAGAGAGUCCCUGCUCUGGGGCGAGAGGUUGGUCCCAGUUGAGAUUUCAUUUGCUGGAGGGCUUCCAGGCAGAGGAAACACAGCUGGCCCUCAGGAGACACGGGCCUCUGGACCACGUGUGUCACAGUGCCUUUGUUGAAGGAACACACAGAUUUGUGACAGCAGAUCGAGGCUCUGUGCAAAGAGAACAUCAGUUCUCUCCCGGCCUCAGUGUCUGCAUCUGUCAGAUGGGGAUAAGGUCAUUGUGCCAACCUCAUGGGGCCUUUCUGAGGACCCCCUGGGACAAUAGAGCUGAAAGAAAACCUGAGGACACAGAGGGCCAGGGGCCGAAGAAGGGCUAGAACAUGUGCUCCACAGGGCGGGGCCUGAGUCUGUCCGUGCACUGCUGCGUCCUCCGUGCAACGCGGGCUCCGGCACACAGCAGACGCUCGAAAAUUGUCUGUUGAGGAUGAAUAGCUGACACGCAAUACGGACUUGUGCAGCAAGCCCUGUUCUGAGAGUUUUCCAUGCACGCACGCUUCAUCCUGACAAUAAUACAGGUACUGUCGUCCCCAUUUAGAGAUAAGGCAACUGAGAGACAGAGGGAUUAUGUCACCUGCCCAAGGCCAGGCGGCUCGUAAGAGCAGGGCUGGCUUCCACCUCCCGCAGGCCGGCUCCAGGUCUGUGCUGUCACACAGAGUGCUCCUGUCUGAGUGCUCCUGUUUGAGUGCUCCUGUCUGGAUGCUCCUGUCUCAGUGCUCCUGUCUAGAUGCUCCUGUCUGAGUGCUCCUGUAUGAGUGCUCCUGUCUGGAUGCUCCUGUCUGAGUGCUCCUGUCUGGAUGUUCCUGUCUGGAUGCUCCUGUCUGAGUGCUCCUGUAUGAGUGCUCCUGUCUGGAUGCUCCUGUCUGAGUGCUCCUGUCUGGAUGUUCCUGUCUGGAUGCUCCUGUCUGAAUGCACCUGUCUGGAUGCUCCUGUCUGGAUGCUCCUGUCUGGAUGCUUUGCUUACGCAUGAGCGAAGGAAGAAGCUCGUGUGGGUAUUUAUGAAUGAGGUUUGGGAUUCCUCGUCUCUUUGCUUUGGGAAGAGGGUCUGAAGCUUCCAGCAAGGAUUCCUGUUUUUCACUCAUCUGUCAGCAGCUUCUGGUAUUUACAGAAAACACUUCGCAAAUGCAACAACAAAACUGGCCUCAUCAUCUGUCUCCAAACCUGGCAUCCUCUUCCCCUCCUCCCGGUGGCAGCUCGUGCUGUCACUGAGGACGGGUGCCCCAGACAGAAACUUGGAGUCAUUUUUGACACCCUUCCCUCUCUCCCCUGGACAGUCUCCUCAAGGUCACAGCAGAAACUGUCUCACAGCAAGUUCGUCCAGCUGUCACCCCUGUCAUCUUCCAGGUAUAACAGCUUGUGGAGGGCUCCCCUAUGCUUUAAGAUUUCAGGAAAAAUUGGCUCUCAUGGGCUGUCCCCCUGUGAUGAGAUUUAUGGCUUGUCUCCUGUUCCAGUUAAACUAUCACUGCAAAAUGAAUCAACCAAAACUUCGUAGUGUAAAACAAUGCCAUGUUGUUAUUCUUUCUCAGAGUUCUAGGGGCCGACUGGGCUCAAAGAGGGGUUCUUGCUCAUGUGGUCGCAAAUAAAAGGUGAAUGGCAUUGGAGUGACCACAGGCUUCCUCACCCCCGUGUCUGGCAGUUGACACUGGUUGUCAACCGGGAUGGCAGCUGGGACUGUUGGCCAGAACAUCCACGCACGGCCUCUUCAUGUACCCUGGGCACAGCAUGGCAGCUGGAUUUCAAGAAUAACUAGCCCCAGAAAUAGAAAGUGGAACCUACCAGACUCUUAAGAUUUGAGUCACUUCCACCAUAUUCCAUUGGUUGAGCAGUCACAAAGCUCAUAUUCAAGGGGGGGGGGGCACCCAGAACGCCACCUCUCAAUGGGAGGAGUG